UACCUAUAUAAGAAUAACAUAAAUGGCUUCAUUCCUUGUGAGAUUGGGAAUUUAGUGAACUUGAUAGACUUUGAUAUAUCCGAAAACCAAAUUAUUGGUCCCAUCCCACAUAGCAUUGGAAACCUGACCAAGCUUGAAAUUUUUGACCUAUCUAGCAACAAAAUAACUGGCAUCAUUCCUCCAUCUCUUGGAAAUUUGAAGGGUCUUACUGAAUUAAAAUUAUUUGACAAUCAUCUCUUUGGUAUAGUGCCUAAUGAAUUUGAGAACCUCACAAAUUUAAUUAAUCUUCAAUUAUUCAACAACAGUCUUUCUGGUAUCCUACCACCAAAUUUGGCCAAAGGAGGCUUGCUGCAAAAUCUUACUUUAGGAUACAAUAAUUUCCAAGGUCCCAUUCCGAUAAGUUUGAAAAAUUCAACAAACCUAGUCAGGGUCCGGCUUGAAAGAAACUAAUUCACUGGAGAUGUCUCUGAAAGCUUUGGUGUUCAUCUGCACUUGGAUUAUAUUGAUCUAAGCUUUAACAGGUUGUCUGGCACUUUAUCACCAUCUUGGGGAGCAUGCCUCAACUUGACAAGCCUUAGAAUCUCAGGCAACAAAAUCAGCGGAAUAAUGCCCUUGGAAAUUGGGCUAUUGCCAAAGUUGCGACGAUUUGACAUCUCUUCCAAUAAUAUGGAGGGAAAGAUCCCAAGAGAGUUUGGUAAAUUAUCUAGUAUAUUUUACCUAAACAUGAGCAACAAUCAUCUCACGGGAACCAUACCGCCAGAAUUUGGAGAUCUAUCUUCAUUAGAAGCUCUUGAUUUGUCAAGCAACAAUUUGAGAGGAGAAAUACCAAUUUGGUUGGAGAAUUGCAUUAAAUUGAUCUCACUCAAGUUAGGUAGUAAUGAGCUAAAUGGAGCCAUCCCUUUUCAACUUGGUAGUUUGAACUUCAUGGAAGUCCUAGACUUGAGUGACAAUUUAUUCACGGGAGAAAUACCACAACAACUUAGUAACUUAAUAGUGUUGCAAGAGUUGAAUUUAUCACACAAUCAGUUGGUUGGUUGCAUUCCAUCUUCUUUUCAAUCAAUGGCAGGCUUAACAUCGUUAGAUUUAUCUUACAAUUCUCUAGAAGGUCCAAUUCCGGAGAACCAUUUCUUUCAAAUAGCUCCCAUUGAGUGGUUUACCGACAAUAAGGGCUUAUGUGGUCAUGUGCAUGGUUUGCCUCCAUGUAAUAAAUCUCUUUCAUUUAAUGAUCACGUGAAGAAACAUGACAAAUUCAUCCUCUUGACCGUUCUAAUAUGUAGCAUGUUACUUCUCUUAUUUAUGAUAGUUGGAAUAUUCACAUUACUUUCUUACAUAAGAAAGAGAUCCACUACAAAUGAUAUUGUGGAAGAAUUUGGAGGACAUUUCUCCUCCAUUUGGAGGGUUAAUCAUGGAAAAGAGGCAUACAAAGAGAUCAUUCAAGCGACAAACAAUUUUGAUGAGAGGUAUCAAAUUGGUGUUGGAGCUAGCAGUGUAGUCUAUAAAGCAGUACUAUUAUCAGGAGAUAUACUUGCUAUCAAGAAAAUUCAUGAAGGUCACAUGGAUGAGCAAUUCCAAAACGAAAUUCAAAUGUUAACCAAAAUUCGGCAUCGGAAUAUAGUGGGGUUCUAUGGUUUUUGCUCUACUAAUGAAUUUAGCUUUCUUGCGUAUGAGUUUAUGGAGAGAGGAUGCUUGGGUGCUAGUCUCAGAUCAGAACGAGAAUCCAUGGAGUUGGAUUGGAUCAAGAGGGUCAACAUUGUACGAGACAUUGCUCAAGCUCUAUCUUACUUGCAUCAUGAUUGCACUCCACCUAUCAUUCAUCGAGACAUAACAAGCAACAACAUUCUUUUAGAUGAGGAGUACAAGGCUUGUGUUUCAGACUUUGGUAUUUCUAGACUACUAAAACCGAACUCAUCACAUUGGAGUUUGCUUGCAGGGACAUAUGGGUACAUGGCACCAGAGCAUGCCUAUGUAAUGAGAUUAACUGAAAAAUCUGAUGUAUAUAGUUUCGGGAUUGUAGCACUUGAAGUGAUUCAUGGAACACAUCCUGGAGAUCUCCUAAGCAACUUAUCACUGAGUAUGUUAGUGAAAGAUAUGCUAGAUCCACGUAUUCCUCUUCGCUUAGCUGAUCAAGUGACCACAAACCAAGUGCUUUUAAUGAUUUUAAUAGCAAUGCAGUGCAUCAACAUUGAUCCACAGACUCGCCCUACAAUGCAACAAGUAUCUCAAAGGUUGUCUUUUUCAAAGUCCUUGGCAGCAUCUGACAUCAAUUCUUUUCAGGCACUUACCCUUGAUCACCUCAUAAACAUUGUACAAACACAUGUUGAUGAUCAAGAGCAUGAAUGAUGGGAACGUUGGGGAGGAAUAUAUAUAUUUCUAGUAAGGAAGAAAUACGUCUUUGAGAUCGUGCAAAUCUCAGGAAUUUGAGAUUUGGAAAAGCACGCUCAGGAGAUUGAGAUUUUGGUGAACAUGGCCUCCAAGUGUAAUGCAUGGUGGUGCUCUUGAGCACGGCAAGGAGUACGGGUGUGCUGAUCUUAGGAAUCGAGUUUAUGGAAGAGGACGGCUUUAAGCACGGGUGUGGUUGGACCCAUAAGUUGGCGAUCUUAAAAGCGACAUUUGAAGAGGAGUGAGAGAGAUAAAGAAAAGGGGUUUUGAGGAAUUGAAGAAGGAGCUUGAGAUUGGCUUGAAAACUCCAAGAAGUUUGGUUUGAUCUUUCAAACAAGUGAAGAAGAGGAGUAAGCUUGUCUUUCAUGCUUAGCUUGCCUAUACAACGAGAGUGACUGAAAAAUGUGAUGUAUACAGUUUUGGAAUUGUAGCACUUGAAGUGAUACGCGGAACGCAUCCCAGGGAUCUCUUAAGCAACUUAUUAUUGAGUGUGAUAGUGAAAGAUAUCCUAGAUCCACGUCUUCCCCUUCAUAUAGGUGAUCAAGUGGCCACGAACCAAGUGCUCUUUGGUGAUUUUAAUAACAAUGCAUUAUCUCAUCACUGAUCCGAAGGCUUGCCCUAUAAUGCAACAAGUAUCUCAAAGAU